AUUGAACGCUGGCGGCAGGCUUAACACAUGCAAGUCGAGCGGGGUGAUGGUGCUUGCACUAUCACUUAGCGGCGGACGGGUGAGUAAUGCUUAGGAAUCUGCCUAUUAGUGGGGGACAACAUCUCGAAAGGGAUGCUAAUACCGCAUACGUCCUACGGGAGAAAGCAGGGGAUCACUUGUGACCUUGCGCUAAUAGAUGAGCCUAAGUCGGAUUAGCUAGUUGGUGGGGUAAAGGCCUACCAAGGCGACGAGCUGUAGCGGGUCUGAGAGGAUGAUCCGCCGCACUGGGACUGAGACACGGACCAGACUCCUACGGGAGGCAGCAGUGGGGAAUAUUGGACAAUGGGGGGAACCCUGAUCCAGCCAUGCCGCGUGUGUGAAGAAGGCCUUAUGGUUGUAAAGCACUUUAAGCGAGGAGGAGGCUCUUUUGGUUAAUACCCAAGAUGAGUGGACGUUACUCGCAGAAUAAGCACCGGCUAACUCUGUGCCAGCCGCCGCGGUAA
rnacentral:rRNA from 1 species